rnacentral:rRNA from 1 species
UACGUAGGGGGCAAGCGUUGUCCGGAUUUAUUGGGCGUAAAGAGCGUGUAGGCGGCCAUACAGGUCCGUUGUGAAAACUCGAGGCUCAACCUCGAGACGUCGAUGGAAACCGUAUGGCUAGAGUCCGGAAGAGGAGAGUGGAAUUCCUGGUGUAGCGGUGAAAUGCGCAGAUAUCAGGAGGAACACCGGUGGCGAAGGCGGGUCUCUGGGCAGUAACUGACGCUGAGGAGCGAAAGCGUGGGGAGCGAACAGG